UACGGGGGGGGGCAAGCGUUUGUUCGGAAUUACUGGGCGUAAAGGGCUCGUAGGCGGCCAACUAAGUCGGACGUGAAAUCCCCAGGCUCAACCUGGGAACUGCGUCUGAUACUGGAUGGCUUGAAUCCGGGAGAGGGAUGCAGAAUUCCAGGUGUAGCGGUGAAAUGCGUAGAUAUCUGGAGGAAUACCGGUGGCGAAGGCGGCAUCCUGGACCGGCAUUGACGCUGAGGAGCGAAAGCCAGGGGAGCAAAGCGGG
rnacentral:rRNA from 1 species